UGAAUAUGUGUCGUGUCGGUCGCGUACUAUGUGAACAAAUAAGUAAAUGAAUAAAAGUGAUUUUUAUAUACAUAUGUACAUAAUAAGUGCAAUAAUUCAUACAAUAUUUUUUAAUUAAAACGUAUCGGUCGCGUCAAAUAUCGUAUUCUUAAAGUAUUACAGUAAUAAAAUGUUUAUAUUAGAAGCAGUUCUUUUUAAAGUUGUUUUGUUAAAUAAAUAAGUAUAACGCCAUUAAACAAAACAUAAUUUGGUGUGUAUCUAUUGUAUGUAUGUAGUGCCGUUAAAUAAUCUAACAAAAACUAGGGAAUUGUGUGAAUAUGUGUUAAUUUAUUUAAUAUAUAAGAAACUACCGUAAUUCGGGCAUAAAAGAAAAACUAAUAACAAAUAAAGUGUCUCGUUAUAAUUUUUAUUGUUGCAUCCACAUUAUCUUCUGUAUUGUUUUUCUUUUUAAAAUACAACAACAAUACCAACAUCAACUCCGUUAACUUUGUUACAAAUUUUGCAUUUUCUUUCCAGUCGUAUUGUUCGUGUUAAUGAGAAACUAUCAGUCGUUCAAUGUGUUAUAACAAUAACAACAAGAGUCAUUAAAAAAAACUUUUCAGUGUUGAAAACUUUUGAAAAAGAAAGCUUAAGACAGCGUAAAUAAAAAAGCUCUAUAAUUAUAUACAUACUUCUUAGUAAAUGUUUUUAAGCUAUAUUAUCUUAAAAGUUUAAUAAGUUCCUUUUCUAACAGAAGGAUGUUGCCAAAUUUUUGAAAAGUACUUUUUGCGUAACAUUUAAUUCGGUCGUUAAAAUCAAAUAAAUGUGUUGUUAUAUUUCGAGAUUUAAAUAAAUAUACAACAAAGCCAAUUAUAUUGAAAAAAAAAAUGUCGAUAUUAAGUAAAUUUCGAAUAGUCAAUUUUUAUCUUUCAUUAAUAUCAACAACUGAAAAGUUGACAUUCUGUUUCAACAAUUAAUAAUAACUUGAUUUAUUCGUCUGAAUAUCGGUCGGAUAAGUGAGACGUAGUGUGUAAGUAAUAAAAAGCUUAAACCACAUAAUUAAUCGAAAUUAUAGUGAAAACGAAGUACCUUAUGGAACUCAGGAGAGUUGAUGUAGCAGAAAUUACUUUAUUUCCAAUAUUUUUCCAAAGCUUUUGUUAAAAAUAAAAAAACUAAUACAAAAAACACCUUUAAACGACAAAAAUAAAACUUCAAAAUUAAGCAAAAAAAAAAAGGAAAACAAUUUGUGUAAAGUAACCAGUGUUUGAAUAUGAAUGUGUUGUGUUCUUUUAAAUAAUAUAAAAAAAUUAAAAAAAAUAAUUUUUUUAAUGAAUAGUUAUUAAAUAAAAUAAUUCACAAAUUUAAGAAAUAAUCAAAUUUUUAAACACAAGAAAAAUUAUAAAAAUAAAUAAUUCCUUGUAUAAAAAAUAAAAAAAAAGCUGAAAUAUUAAGUGUUCAAUUUUCUUCUUCUCCUCAAAAAUAAACAAAAAAAGCAAAAAAAAAAA